ensembl:lncRNA
GGCUUCUCCCUGUGACUCUUGGCCAGACUCGUCUCACGGACCCACCUGUAGCCGCAGGACAGGCUGGGAAUCAAUGUUCCAGAGGAGAAACACGGGACAGAGGAGAGGGAAUGAGCAGCCCCAGGAACACUGCAUCUUCUGGGAAGGCCCAAAGCCAACGUAGCCGGAUGGUGUUCUUCUCUGCCCUUUGUCACGUCUGGAUUGCUUGUGUGGGGUGACCAGCCGGCCCAGACACAUCCCCAGUGACGGUCAAGAAAUCGGGUUUCCAGUUCCUUGGGACCUGGGCGCUGCUCCCUACGGCUUCCCGUCCCUCCCCCAGAAGUGAGCACAGAUCGCAGACCACGGAGGACACGGGGAGAGCGUGCCGUCCACUCGCCCAGCAGAGGCCCCGCAGGGAGGCCUGCAUCUCGGGCUUCAGCCCCUGGGACGGUGAGGAGUAAACUCACGUUUCUAGAGCCGCCUGGUUUGUGGUAUUUUUUUCGCGGCCCCUGAAGACUCAGUCAGGGGCUGGGUGGGGGGCAGGGCAGGUCCGCCUCACCUCUGCCUUGCAGGGUCACUGUGGACAAGCCACCACCUCUCUGGUUUUCCUCCUUCGGCCCGACGACGGGACAAGUGCCCUGGGAAAAACCCGUAGCUGGUCUCUUCAAGAGCAGCGGGGUCCCGUCCAGUGGUCUGGAGGCCCCGUCACUGGCUGGCCCCUGCCCCUCCGUGGCCUGUGACUUCAUGGGACACGUACCGAGCCACACAGGUCCUCUGCCCUCGUCUUACGGGCACACUGGGUCGGCUCUCGGGCGCCAGUCUGCCUGCAGGAGACUCUGCACCAGGGGGCCCGGAGCUCUCAUGGAGGGCACACUCCCACCCCAGCUGGCCGGCUGCGAGGGACAGUGUCCAAGCCACCAGCAGCCGGGCAUCCACCAUGGCUCCAGAUCCGCCCACUUGUGGCCCAGAGACAGGGUUUACAAAGAGUUGCUAGAGAGGAGGUCUGUGCCUCUGCAUCCCAAAACCCACAUGGUCACAGCCGCUGGCCUGCAGGGUUUUAGUGUCUUCUGGGUGGAUCAGGGCUCUGGUGGGGAGGCGUCAGCCUCUCUUUAGAGACCUCUGAGGACCUCGUUUACUGUCGCCUGGGUCUGGGCAGGUGUGACUUGGAAAUUCGCAAGGACCUUCCCGAGGAUGUGUGCACGUGGAGACUGACCAGCCAAUUCCCAGACCCUUGGUCUUUCCUGAAGCUGAUCUACCCGGGAGGGUUGGUGAAGGGAUAAAGGGUUUCCGUUCUUCUCUUUUACAAACUCUGUCCUCCCACUUCGCUCCCAACCUCUUGUCUGUCCCACGUGCGGGCGCCCCGGGGUCUCGUGUGCAUCUGGGAAGGGGCGUGACGCGACAGCUGGGAGGCUCCUCCCUUCGUGUGUCAAGGAUUUGAAGUGUUUGCUUUCAACUCAGGAGAAAAAGAACUAACUGGGAUUUCUCUGGAAGGGCCCAUGGGUGAAGGAUUCCCUUCAUUCUUGUGUGUGGAGACGUGUUUUCCUGUGGCCUUGAUACUCAAGGGACCACUUGGCUGGACAUAAAUUCUCACCUGUGCUCCUGCCCCCUCGGUUUUGGAGAAAUUCGACUCUGUGGUUGUCUCGUUUAGUCUGGCCAUGGUUGAAAGGCUUAAUCUAAUUCUUUGCCUUUUUAAUUUCUUUUGUUAAAAACAUGUUUAUUUAUUUAUUUUUUUCAACGUUUUUAUUUAUUUUUGGGACAGAGAGAGACAGAACAUGAACGGGGGAGGGGCAGAGAGAGAGGGCGACACAGAAUCGGAAACAGGCUCCAGGCUCUGAGCCAUCAGCCCAGAGCCUGACGCGGGGCUCGAACUCACGGACCACGAGAUUGUGACCUGGUUGAAGUUGGACGCUUAACCGACUGCGCCACCCAGGCGCCCCAAAACAUGUUUAUUUUUGAGAGAGAGAGAGAGAGACAGAGCAUGAGUGGGGGAGGGGCAGAGACAGAGGAAGACACACAAUCCGAAGCAGGCUCCAGGCUAGCUGUCAGCACAGAGCCUGAUGUGGGGCUCGAACCCACGAACUGCCAGAUCAUGACCUGAGCUGAAGUCAGAUGCUCAACCGACUGAGCCACCCAGGUGCUCUGAGAUUUGGGCUGGGUUUUUAUGUCUUCAGAUGCUUGUUGGGUGGUAGUAUGUAAUUCCGUUUCGAGUGUAGACAUGCCGUUGGCUUCCGUCUUCUUCCCGCCUCCUCCGAGGUCAGGCGGACUCUCUUCCCUCCAUUUGUGUGCGUUCAUUUCCUGCCGCCCGGCCGCCUUCUCUGUGCGUUUCAUCUCCUUGUUUAUUCCGCACGAAGUUUGCAGUUAGACCUGGCCUUUCCUGCACGUCUGGGGACUACGGUCCUUUGGUGGGAGUUUGCUUUGGGGGAAGGGGGUGUGGACCCCCUGUGGGUCACCUGCACACACCACUCCUCUCCUUGCUCAAAGUCCAAUGGACCUUCUCCUUCCCAUGAGGCCUUCAGAAUCCGAGGGUUUUCUGGCCGCUGAGUCCGGUCUUCCCGCGGCCGUGGGUCUGGCCCGCAGCCUCUGUGUCGCUGGGGGCAUAUCACGUCUCCUCUUCUUACAGGCGUUUUGCAGUCCUGUUGACUUAUUUUUAAUUAAUUACUCAUUUCUAUUUUAAUUCCAAUAUCAUUAGCAUUUUGCAGUUUUGACCUGCUUUUUCCCAAGUAACACUGAGGGUUUUGCACAGAAAUGUCAUGGCUACUUUGGAUCAUUUGGGGAGGAGUGAGUUGAAUCCUGUGUCUGGAGAUAUUUGACACCCUUCUUUCUUUUAUGGCCAAACCACUCAGGCCAACAGAUCAGCAAAACUAUAGAAGAUUUGAACAGUAGCAUCUGUCAUCGUCACCUCAUUGGUAUCCUCAGAGCUGUGAACGUGGAAACGGACACUCAGAAGGGCAUAUGGCACCUUCCAGAACAUGGACUCCCUACCUGAACGUAAAAACAAGCUCAAUAAAAUUCAAAAGUUUACAAUCA